rnacentral:lncRNA from 1 species
UUGUAGCUUAAGGAUUCAAAGAUACCAAAGGUCGAAGCAUUUAAAGUUUCGGGAAAAAGCUGCAAUAAUUUCCUCUUGAGACAGGUAUGCUUCUCCAUCAUUGCUCGUACUUUAUGUGAAUAUAUAUUUGCUCGUACUUUAUGUGAUUGUAGUCUUCCAUUUGGUUGGUGAUGUUGGUAGUUCUAUCUCUAUUAUUAGGAUGCAUAGAAAUUGACAUCUAGCAAGAAAUUCUAAUCGAUUGCCUUAUUUUAAUAAUCAUUUAGAUGGCACCUAGCAAGAAAUGGAUGAAUUUUGUGAAUGCUAGACCCUUAAGGAGAUGCUAGACCCUUAAGGAGUGAUAGAGAUGUUUUGGCUAUGCUGAUACGACAUGAGGAUGUUCCUUGCAUCAAUGUUCAUAUAUAUGAGGAUCCUACUGCUGCGCCAUUAAGUUUCAAGCUGCCACAAGACAAUCCAAUGCUUGGUAUAAUUGUCUUUUGUCUUUCAUUGUGUAUUAGUUCUUGUUGGAUUUGAUUAUAUUCAUUUGGUGAUCUUAAUCUUUUAUAGGUUCGCAAGUCUCGUCAAAUCUUAGAGUAACAAAUGUUAAAAUAGUGGGUGAUCUCAAGGCAAAUAAAAAGCCAAUAACAGAUUGUUGGAUUUGAUUAUAUUCUUGUGAAAGCCAAUAGUUCUCUCAGUUCAUUGCUUUUGUCUAGUUAAUUAUUAACUUAAAUUCUCUUUUCGCAGAAUAAAUUUCUUCAUUUGCCAUCCAAGUGUAACAGAGUAACUCUUAGACAGGUUUCUUUCUUUCUUUCUAUUGCAUUUUCUCUUUAAUUAGAUCAUAUUUGUUUUGAAUUUUGGUUAACUUCUCUUUAUAUGAUAUUAGAAAACUGAGAAGCAAUUGUCUUAUACAUUCGAAUAGACUCUUAGAAAACUUAACUCUGUUUGCAGGUUUUACUUUUCUACUAUCCAUUUAUGUCGUUGAAACCUUGAUCGAAGCUUGGGAAACAGGAAAAGAAAAAACGAAGUGAUAUCUUAGCUUGAGAUAGAGAUCUUCAUUCUGCUGGCUAAUAUGUAGGCUUAAUAAAUGUUUUAUUUUCCUAAAGUAGACCCUGUGUAGUUGGAAUCUGUUUAUAUUCUUAACAAGUGAUAUCUUUCACGUUCACUUUUGUAUAUCCAACAUCUAGUUUUGUAUAUUUCAGCUAAUUGAAAGCUGCAANNNNN